rnacentral:lncRNA from 1 species
UUCUCCAAAAUCAAAAAUGCUAAACCCUAGCUAGUAGAAGACUUGGUUUUUGCUCGAAGACUUGCGUGAAGACUGGCUAGGAAAUCGUUCGACAAGUGCUUUGCAGUGAUUUCUCCGACGACGUGUAUAUUACUUUCGUUCUCAUUUUCUUUCAAUUCCUUGCACGAAACCCCUUCUCAUUUUCCCCCAAUUUGAUAAAUGUCUUGCAGAAUCUUGGUGGGUAGGAGGCUCCAUUAGGUUUGAAUCGUGGUGGGACUAGGGUUUGGUGGUUGGCGGAGGCUUCGUGGUUCGUCGACGUGGGCGUGAGAAGGCGACGAUGCUUAGGAAAGGCUCGCUGGUCUGUUCAGCGAGGUGAAAGUUUGGUGCAGCUCUAAGCUUGGACGAAUAAGCCGUCUCGUCUCUGCAAAUCGAACCAGGUUUUAAAUUAUUUGCGAAACCCCUAUUUGCUAAUAUAUCUUGAUUUCAACUGGUUAUAUUUUCUGGAUGGAUGCUCGUUCUUCUCGUGUGGACUUGAGAAGUGAACAAGUCAUAACGAUGUUGCACUUACCGAGUAGACCUUACAUUUGUUAGUGCCUCCUUUAGCUACUGUCUCACCUUUAUAAUAGAGAAAUUAGUGAAGCACAACCUCUCAUUCAUGCUCAACUCAAAUCUAUCUUUUGCUUGUUCAUAAGAUGAGACAAUUUGGACUUUGUAUUUUUUAGGAAGAU